rnacentral:rRNA from 1 species
AUUGAACGCUGGCGGCAGGCCUAACACAUGCGAGUCGAGCGGAUGAAGGGAGCUUGCUCCUUGAUUCAGCGGCGGACGGGUGAGUAAUGCCUAGGAAUCUGCCUGGUAGUGGGGGAUAACGUCCGGAAACGGGCGCUAAUACCGCAUACGUCCUGAGGGAGAAAGUGGGGGAUCUUCGGACCUCACGCUAUCAGAUGAGCCUAGGUCGGAUUAGCUAGUUGGUGGGGUAAAGGCCUACCAAGGCGACGAUCCGUAACUGGUCUGAGAGGAUGAUCAGUCACACUGGAACUGAGACACGGUCCAGACUCCUACGGGAGGCAGCAGUGGGGAAUAUUGGACGAUGGGCGAAAGCCUGAUCCAGCCAUGCCGCGUGUGUGAAGAAGGUCUUCGGAUUGUAAAGCACUUUAAGUUGGGAGGAAGGGCAGUAAGUUAAUACCUUGCUGUUUUGACGUUACCAACAGAAUAAGCACCGGCUAACUUCGUG